UUAUAAUAUCUAAUCACCUCCUACAUUACCAAGCAAAUCCAGAAACUUCUCCUUCCAUCUUCUUAUACACUCUUCUUUAAAUUAUUAUUACCUAAUCACCACCUUUAUUAGCAAGCAAAUCUAGAAACUCCUCACUUCAGCUUCUUAGCUUGUUCUUAGAAAGUAGAAAUAUCAAAAAAAGUAGCUCUCUUUUUUCGAUCUUCCUCUUUCUCUGUCCAAGGUUUGACUCUGUGUUGCAGUAAUUGUGUACAUAUGCAGGUUCAGUUUGUUUGAUUUAAGUAAGUGUCACUCUUCUGCAUUGUUAGAUUAUCGUCUAAUUGCUUCUUCAAUUUAUUUUGUUGUUAUAA